CAUGUAGGCGGCUUAACAAGUCGAGCGUGAAAAUGCGGGGCUCAACCCCGUAUGGCGCUGGAAACUGUUAGGCUUGAGUGCAGGAGAGGAAAGGGGAAUUCCCAGUGUAGCGGUGAAAUGCGUAGAUAUUGGGAGGAACACCAGUGGCGAAGGCGCCUUUCUGGACUGUGUCUGACGCUGAGAUGCGAAAGCCAGGGUAGCGAACG
rnacentral:rRNA from 1 species